GGCCCCGUGGUGUAGUGGUUACACGUCCUCUGUCUGUAUAGAUGUCUGAAGAGGGUAUGAGGGAAUCCCUGUUCGAAUCAGGGCAGGGCCG